UUUUCUUACUAACGUUAUGAAAUCAGUAAGUAUUUUGGGGAGAGUUACUACUUCUUCUGCAGAGUCCCUGCCUCGUGGCAGUACUGUGAUACUUAUAUAGCAUGGAUACACCAUACACACUGCACCACAGCCUUUGGGAUGGGUUUGCAGUCCACAAACACUUGUGCGUUUUACACUCUGCCCCUCUGCCCUGCCUUCCCACCUGUCCUCUCAGGCGUUUCUGGAUCAAGUCUAGACAUCCAUAUAAACAAAUAGUACCAGCUUCUUUUGGGAAAUUUAUGUUUAAUAUAGUAGAUUAUCACAAAGCCUGCGGCACCUGGCUGUGGGAGCUCAGUGAAAAAGCCCAAAGAGGAAUGGGAGGCCAGCUCGGUUCUUGGCCAUGGUAGUUGUCAGGCUUCCACAAGAUGGCACUCAUAGAUUGGUUUUUAUAUCCAUCCUCAAGAAAUGAGCAACUUUGUAUACGUAGUCAUUUAAUAUGACUUGUGACCUGUGUUUCAAAAUAUUUGUAGCUAAUUUUGAGUCACUUCUAUAGCUUUAUAAGAAAACUUUUUUUCUGGAACAAGAGAGAUGGGUUCUCCUAGUCCUCCUGAUUUGCAUAGGAAGAAGUGAGAAAUACUGUGAGGGACAAUUAAGGUAUACUGGUUGCUAUGCACUCCAGUGGAGACCCCACAAGGUCCAGUGUAAGAGAGCCAUCAGCAAAGGGAAAGCUAGUCUGUGCAACUUAUGUCCUUUUAGCUUUUCAGAAGAGCAUUGCUGUGUAGAUUGGAAUCUAUAGUCUGAGUCUAUCUUGAAAUUUUGAGCCUUUCCCUACGAGUGAAAGUUGCCAUCUUCAAUGAGAAAUUUUAGAGUAAACCUAUUUUUCUGAUAUAAAAUACGCAAAGCCAGGUGUGGAUAGCACUUUUCUGUAGUCUCUAUGCAUGAGGAAAAAGCAGGAGGAUGUCGGAUUUGAUGCUAGCCUGGAUUACACAAUGAGUACAUGCUCAUUAGAGAAGAGCCUAAAGGAAAAGUAACAGUGGUCCAUCUCCCUUCCGUUUGGAACAGAGCUAGGCUUUGGUGAUGUGCUUAAGAAUCUUCAUUCCGCCAGGUUGGUGGCGCACACACACCUUUGAUUCCACCAUCCCAGUAUCUCAGCAUCCCAGUACUGGAAAGCAGAGGCAGGUAGAUCUCUGAGUUCAAGGACAGCCUGGCUUACAUAGUGAGUUCCAGGACAGCCAGAAGUAUAUAAAGAGACCCUGUCUCAAAAGAAAAAAUAUCAGUAUUUUAAAAUAUGUAUAUGUAUAAUAUUUAAAUUUAAAUAUAAAGUUAAAAUUAUCAUAUGUGUGUGCAUGCCUGUGUGUGUGUCUGAUGUUUGUAUGCAUCCUGGCUUUUUUCCCAUUUGCUAAUAUGGCAUCACCAAGUAAUUUACUUUAUCUUUAAGUCUUUGAAAAUAAAGUUCUAAAGUGUGCUGGCUCAUGGCUAUAAUCCUAGCCCUUGGCAAGUAGAGGCAGGAAGAUUAGAAGUUUAGGCUUAUCUUCAGCUACAUAGUAAGUUUAAGACUAUUUGAGCUACGUGAACCCUUGUCUCAGGACAAAACAAAACAACAGAAGACCAAUGAAUAUUAAUGUUAACAUGUUUCCAGUAGCUCUUAUUUGGUUAUGUAGCUCCACACUCUGUUCAAAAGCAUGGUUGUUUUGAAUCUUUCAUUGCCAGUUAUGGAGAUAAACUUUCUUGUAUAUUUCUGACUCUGUACUUGGUAAUUUCUUUAAGAUAGAACUCUGGAAACUGGAGUUGAGGGGAGGUGUCACUGUUGCAGUGGGCACUAAUUGAUGUUAGCUUGGGAGUAGCAUACACCUUAGAGAGUUCAUCUUUAGCUCCAAGCGUCCUGUAUAUGGAUUGAGCUAUUCUGUGAAUUGGGAUGGACCCUGUAUGCCCUGGCUCUCGUGUUAGUGGCUUUGGGCCCCUUCUUGCUUCCUCCUGUCUACCAUUCUUCAUUACUAUGUUCCCUUCCCUGCUUCUGCAGUCAGUGAUUUUUUUUUUUUUUUGGACAUAGUUUAUUAAAAAAAUUUUAAUGUAAAUUUUUCAAUUAAAAACUUUUUUAUUUUAAAAUAAGGUUAUAGAUGGAUUCUUUUAUGAAAAUAGAUCUGUGUUUAAUAACUUGCCAUUGUAAAGUGAAUGAAGCACACAUCCAGGGAUUUUCUACCAUUUAAGAAUACAGCCAUAAGUUACUUAUUCUUACCCAUGUCACGGACGGAUCAGAUGACAAAAUGUGUUUUGUUGAAAUAAAGCCCGCUUAAUACCCCCAUUCUCAGCUCUUAGGAACCCAGCAGGCAGAGACUACUUCAGUUUAGCUUCUUAUUUGACCUCUUUAAACAUUGAAUUCUGAUUUACCUUGCUUCCAGGAUUUUUUUUCCAUUUGUUUAUCUUUUAAUUUUCUUCACUAGGUCUCAUUUAAAAUGUACUUUACAUUUUUGUAUAUGGGCUGUUUGUAUGUGCAUGGGUUCAUGUAUGACAGACAAGCUCAGGAUAGUCCUCUCCUUCUGCUGUGAGAGUCCCUGGGAUCCAGCUGGCAUGGUGCUAAGUUUCCUCUUCCCACUGAGCCACUGAGCCUUCUCAUGGUUUAUUAAGGGACACUCCCCAAGAAUGGGAGUGAGCAAGUGGAGCCAGGGGAGCAAUUUCCCCCAAAGAUUUGAUAGCUUACUAAUUAUUAUGUAUUUGAAACGAAUGGGGAGGGGCAGGGGCCCUUCUAGUCACUUGCCUUGAGGGACUAAUUGAAGGUCAACCCAAACGUGCUGGAAAAUAAGCCUCUUGCUUUUGCAUCGAAAAGAAAAUAAAUGAUUCCCCCCUCCCCCACAUUGUUGUUGUUUUCAAAAAUUGUACAAUGGUAAUUUUUAGAUCUUAAAAAAAAUCCAUUUUUCUUGAGAGAAAUGUGCAAAAAGAGGCUAGAAAGAGGGUGAAUCUUGCUAAGACAACACAACAUGAGUAAUAUAAAACUACUUCAGCUUUUAUUUUGGAUCUAGCUUAUUCUUCUGACUCUUGCCAAGUUCCCUAUGUUGGACUCUUCCCAUCCCAGUCCUGGAGCACAGUGAUGGUGAUGCCAGCAGACAACCCAUGACCCACAGCAGCAGCACCCUUUCCUGCCUCCUGCAUGGAGAUGCAGUGGUGACCCGCUGAGGCCGCAUGCCAUUUGACAUGCUGGAAAGGCACUGAUCACAUUUCCUUGUUACUUUAUGGCCGUCUCUGAUUGGUGGUCCCAAUGCUCUGGGUAACUGGACCAAAUGGAUCAUUGUUUUAGAGAUAAUCAAGAUCUGACUUUCUCUAUAUGGGACUAAGGAAUGCUUCUAUAACCUAGUUUCUGCGACGUAGGUUGUGGCUUUGCUAAUGUAUAUGUUGCCUUCAAGGCCACUUUUUUUUUUUUAAAGAUUUAUUUACUUUAUUUAUGUGAGUACACUGUAGCUUUCUUCAAAGACACCAGAAGAGAGCAUCAGAUCUUAUCACAGAUGGUUGUGAGCCACCAUGUGGUUGCUGGGAAUUGAACUCAGGACCUCUGGAAGAGCAGUCGGUUCUCUUAACCUCUGAGCCAUCUCUCCAAGCCCUCAAGGCCACUUUUUAUUGUGAAAGGUAGUACAUCCUCCAAACUGAACCUAAAACACUUAAUUUCCAUUUCCUGGGAUUUCUCUCCCUUGAUGAAAAGGUAACUAGCUGCCUUUCUCUCAAUAUCACCCAUUGCUUUGGGCCUACAGUGAGGCAGAUGAUCAUAGCAGAGAGGGUAUGUAAAAUCUGUUUUCCUCAUGGUGGCUGAGAAAAGAUGGGAAGGGGCCAGGGGCAGGUGUAACAUCAGGUUGACACCAAUUAGUCAGAAUUC
rnacentral:lncRNA from 1 species